rnacentral:lncRNA from 1 species
UUUAAGUGGUAACUUUUAAUAGGGGGUACAUUUAGUCAUAAUGAGGUGGGAAGAAAGGUCAAGGAUAUCAUUUUCUGAAUUCUAAGAUCUUAUUAAGUUGCAAAGUAUAUAAAUGCAGAACUGUUUGUACUUAACUUUUUGAAUGCUUCUUUUCUUCAAGCAUAUGGCACGCACUUGCAGAGAAGGCAAAUGUUCACCGAGUCAUUAUUUCAUGUAGUAUUCAACGUGCUUUCCAGUGUUCUGAUUUGACAGAAUUAAAGAAUUUUGACUGCUUUUCAGCAAACGAACGAAGAACGUAACCUGGGUUCUUUGUAUACUACUCUGUUCUAGUAAGAAUAGAAAGCUUAUCUUUUCCAUUUUCAUUCACAUAGCUUAAUUCUACUGCUAUUAAUGACAAUUUCUCCGCAGUUACCGUAUGUGACUAUCAGAAAUCUUAAACGCUUCCCAU